rnacentral:rRNA from 1 species
UACGUAGGGGGCGAGCGUUGUCCGAAGUUACUGGGCGUAAAGCGCACGUAGGCGGUUAUCUAAGUCUGGGGUGAAAGGUUCAGUGCUUAACGCGAACAGUGCCUUGGAGACUGGAUGACUUGAGUUUGGGAGAGGGUAGUGGAAUGGCUGGUGUAGCGGUGAAAUGCGUAGAUAUCAGUCGGAACACCAAUGGCGAAGGCAGCUACCUGGCCUAAAACUGACGCUGAGGUGCGAAAGCGUGGGGAGCGAA